rnacentral:rRNA from 1 species
CACUUGUUGCCUCGGCGGAUCAGCCCGCUCCCGGUAAAACGGGACGGCCCGCCAGAGGACCCCUAAACUCUGUUUCUAUAUGUAACUUCUGAGUAAAACCAUAAAUAAAUCAAAACUUUCAACAACGGAUCUCUUGGUUCUGGCAUCGAUGAAGAACGCAGCAAAAUGCGAUAAGUAAUGUGAAUUGCAGAAUUCAGUGAAUCAUCGAAUCUUUGAACGCACAUUGCGCCCGCCAGUAUUCUGGCGGGCAUGCCUGUUCGAGCGUCAUUUCAACCCUCAAGCACAGCUUGGUGUUGGGACUCGCGUUAAUUCGCGUUCCUCAAAUUGAUUGGCGGUCACGUCGAGCUUCCAUAGCGUAGUAGUAAAACCCUCGUUACUGGUAAUCGUCGCGGCCACGCCGUUAAACCCCAACUUCUGAAUGUUGACCUCGGAUCAGGUAGGAAUACCCGCUGAACUUAAGCAUAUCAAUAAGCGGA